rnacentral:rRNA from 1 species
AUACGGAGGGUGCAAGCGUUAUUCGGAAUCACUGGGCGUAAAGGACGCGUAGGCGGGUUGGCAAGUCAGAUGUGAAAUCCUACAGCUUAUCUGUAGAACUGCAUUUGAAACUGCUAACCUAGAGUAUGGGAGGGGGAGAUGGAAUUAGUGGUGUAGGGGUAAAAUCCGUAGAUAUCACUAGGAAUACCGAAAGCGAAGGCGAUCUCCUGGAACAUAACUGACGCUAAGGCGUGAAAGCGUGGGGAGCAAACAGGAUUAGAAACCCUAGUAGUCC